rnacentral:rRNA from 1 species
CCUACGGGAGGCAGCAGUGGGGAAUAUUGCACAAUGGGCGAAACCCUGAUGCAGCAACGCCGCGUGAGUGAAGAAGUAUUUCGGUAUGUAAAGCUCUAUCAGCAGGGAAGAAAAUGCCGGUACCUGAGUAAGCAGCCCCGGCUAACUACUUGCCAGCAGCCGCGGUAAUACGUAGGGGGCAAGCGUUCUCCGGAUUUACUGGGUGGAAAGGGAGCGUAGGCGGGGAUGCAAGUCUGAAGUGAAAGCCCGGGGCUCAACCCCGGGACUGCUUUGGAAACUGUAUGGCUGGAGUGCUGGAGAGGCAAGCGGAAUUCCGAGUGUAGCGGUGAAAUGCGUAGAUAUUAGGAAGAACACCAGUGGCGAAGGCGGCUUGCUGGACAGUAACUGACGUUGAGGCUCGAAAGCGUGGGGAGCAAACAGGAUUAGAUACCCCAGUAGUC